rnacentral:rRNA from 1 species
GUCCACGCCGUAAACUAUGAGAACUAGCCGUUGGAGCCCUUGAGGCUUUGGUGGCGAAGCUAACGCGAUAAGUUCUCCGCCUGGGGAGUACGGCCGCAAGGUUAAAACUCAAAUGAAUUGACGGGGGCCCGCACAAGCGGUGGAGCAUGUUGUUUAAUUCGAUGCAACGCGAAGAACCUUACCACCCCUUGACAUCCUCAGAACUUUCCAGAGAUGGAUUGGUGCCUUCGGGAACUGAGAGACAGGUGCUGCAUGGCUGUCGU